AACACAAACCCCGGCGCUGAAUGCGUCAAGGAAUUUUAAAUUUGCUCUGAGCGCACCUGCAUGGCACCGGAGACGGUUUUCGUGCGGGUUGUGCUCUGACCCAUAAUAUAGAAUGACUCUCGGCAACGGAUAUCUAGGCUCUUGCAUCGAUGAAGAACGUAGCGAAAUGCGAUACUUGGUGUGAAUUGCAGAAUCCCGUGAACCAUCGAGUCUUUGAACGCAAGUUGCGCCCGAUGCCAUUAGGUUGAGGGCACGUCUGCCUGGGCGUCACAUAUCGAAGCCUCUUGACAAUUUCCUUUUUAUAGGUAUUGUGCAGGGGAAAUGUUGGCCUCCCGUGAGCUCCAUCGUCUCAUGGUUGGUUGAAAAUCGAGACCUUGGUAGGGUGUGCCAUGAUAGAUGGUGGUUGUGUUACGCACGAGACCAAGUCAUGUGCUGCUCUAUUGAAUUUAGCCUCUUUUACCCACAUGCGUUUCUAAACGCUCGUGAUGAGACCUCAGGUCAGGCGGGGCUACCCGCUGAAUUUAAGCAUAUCAAUAAGCGGAGGAAAAGAAACUAACAAGGAUUCC
rnacentral:rRNA from 1 species